rnacentral:rRNA from 1 species
AGAGUAGCAAUACUUGAGACCGGCGCACGGGUGCGUAACGCGUAUGCAAUCUACCUUUUACAGAGGGAUAGCCCAGAGAAAUUUGGAUUAAUACCUCAUAGUAUAAUGACCUGGCAUCAGGAUGUUAUUAAAGUCACAACGGUAAAAGAUGAGCAUGCGUCCCAUUAGCUAGUUGGUAAGGUAACGGCUUACCAAGGCUACGAUGGGUAGGGGUCCUGAGAGGGAGAUCCCCCACACUGGUACUGAGACACGGACCAGACUCCUACGGGAGGCAGCAGUGAGGAAUAUUGGACAAUGGGCGCAAGCCUGAUCCAGCCAUGCCGCGUGCAGGAUGACGGUCCUAUGGAUUGUAAACUGCUUUUAUACGAGAAGAAACACUACUUCGUGAAGUAGCUUGACGGUAUCGUAAGAAUAAGGAUCGGCUAACUCCGUGCCAGCAGCCGCGGUAAUACGGAGGAUCCAAGCGUUAUCCGGAAUCAUUGGGUUUAAAGGGUCCGUAGGCGGUUUAAUAAGUCAGUGGUGAAAGCCCAUCGCUCAACGGUGGAACGGCCAUUGAUACUGUUAAACUUGAAUUAUUAGGAAGUAACUAGAAUAUGUAGUGUAGCGGUGAAAUGCUUAGAGAUUACAUGGA